CUCCGGCCGCCAUCUUCUCCAAUUUCUGCCCUGAAUCCGUCACUUCUCCUUUUGGGCAAUUACAUCACUUCUAUAUCGCGUCGUAUUCGAAGAAGGAGCCGAUUGAACUCAAGAAUCGCUUGAACAGAUUCGUCAAUUAAAGAAUUAAUGAUAAUAGAGAUGUGGCUGAUGAUCAUUACCACCGAUUCUUGGAAGAUAUUGAGAUUAUGCAUCACUUGGUGUAAAUGCAUACCGGUUCUCAAUUUCAUGGGUUAGAAUUUUACCAAAAGGCAGACUUGGUGAAGUUAUCCAAGUGGAAUCAUGUCUUAUAAUAAUAUUAUAGACCAUCUCUUGCUCAGAGGAAUUGAGCCGUUUGUGACCAUAUUCCAUUUGGCUUACCACAAGAACUAGGAGAGAGAUAUGGGUCUUGGCUCAGCC